rnacentral:rRNA from 1 species
UACGUAGGGGGCAAGCGUUGUCCGGAUUUAUUGGGCGUAAAGAGCGUGUAGGCGGCCAUACAGGUCCGUUGUGAAAACUGGAGGCUUAACCUCCAGACGUCGAUGGAAACCGUAUGGCUAGAGUCCGGAAGAGGAGAGUGGAAUUCCUGGUGUAGCGGUGAAAUGCGCAGAUAUCAGGAAGAACACCGGUGGCGAAGGCGGAUCUCUGGGCCUUGCCUGACGCUGAGGCGCGAAAGCUAGGGGAGCGAACAGG